rnacentral:tRNA from 1 species
ACUUUCAAAGGACCACAGCUUGCCCGCCAACCUUAGGAGUUGGCUACUCU